UGGUGAUGAUGAAUUUUAUUCCUACAUUCGCGGUUUCCACCAGAAGAACAGCUCGAGUUCUGAAGAUGGCCUCUGUCCUUCCUUGGAUGUCUGAACCA